UACGGAGGGUGCGAGCGUUGUUCGGAAUCACUGGGCGUAAAGCGCGUGUAGGCGGCCUCUUAAGUCCGAUGUGAAAGCCCGGGGCUCACCCCCGGAAGUGCAUUGGAUACUGAGAGGCUGGAGUACCGGAGAGGAGGGUGGAAUUCCUGGUGUAGCGGUGAAAUGCGUAGAUAUCAGGAGGAACACCUGUGGCGAAGGCGGCCCUCUGGACGGAUACUGACGCUGAGACGCGAAAGCGUGGGGAGCAAACAGG
rnacentral:rRNA from 1 species